UCUAAUUCAUAUAUCCAAUAUCUAAUUCUUUCAUCAUGAAGUACAAUAAUAAUUUACAUUUUGCUGAUUUAAACAUCUGUCUGACAAGGGCAAGUUUUGUAGGGUUUUUCUCCAGCUGGUAUAAAAACUGCUGCAUAAACAAAUUUAACUAAACGAAGAGGCGUAUGAAAAUGAAAAUCAAUAGUUGCCUAGAUGCAUGGUUGGAUAAUAGAAAUGAGCAGAAAGAGUUGCGCUCAUUAGUGACACGCGAUACUCGAAUAAAACGGAAAUGGCAAAUCAAAUACUCAAAGCGAAAAAAGGGCGCUGAGCCAAAGAAGCGCAAAUCAGUUACAACUAUGGACAGUUAUCUCAGCGGGUCAUCUCUUCACGAAAGGACAAUUAUGAGUGGACAUGCUAAUUUGUGCGUGGAACGGCGAGGACAGCCGGGCCAAAGGGACAGGCACGCGCCAAAGCAGAAUACCUCAAUAUUUGUGGAUGGAACGUGAUUUGGCGCAUUUGCCAUGGCAAGAACCGCGCCCAGCAAGCGUCAAGACAGCGCCGCGCCCAGGACAGAACAGCACGGUGAAUCCUUUCCCUACACACACACACACACACACACGCACUUGAUUAGCCAGCGCUGCUUUGCCUAAAAGUAUGCAAAAUGUUUUGUUCACGCUGCACAAACAGGCGCUUCAGCUGUGCUCAACUGAACAUGGAGGACACGAAGCGUAACCGCUGAGCACGCAAAGGGUUAAUUAAUUAAAUGCGCUUUGUGCUGCGUUGAUAUAUACAAAGAUAUACAGAUACGGCCACAAUCUGCUGCUGCAGACGGCGACUGACUCCGCCCAGCUUGUGGCCACACCCACAUUGCAUUCGCCCCGUGCCCCAAACCCUGUGGUUGCCAGCGUCUUUGAUGUAAACUUCGUAAAGUCUCAAGAAAAUGCCUCGAGCUGUCGUUUUGUAAUUUCCAGCCACAAUUUUCCGACUUUUGCCCCCACAAAAAAUAAGUUGAAAAGCGUUCAGUUUAACGCUUCAAUUGCCUUUAACUCGAAUAACCGGCAACUCCGUCCUACGCGUAGCCGCACUUGUAUCUAUUUAUAAGGGAAUACUCGAAAACUUCGCCCUGGGUGUGUCUGUGUCGUCGCCCAAUACGUUUCUCCUAUACCCUGUACUCAGAAAAUGGUUGAAAAGGACUAUCGGUAGUUGUGAAGAUGCAUCUCUAACUGGCAAAAGUUAACAUUCGUGCUAAUAUUCGACUUGAUUAAAGUGAGAGAACAUUAUUUAAAGUUUCGUCUGUCUGUUAAAGUUAGAAAGCACAGUUAUAUUCCAG